GAUUUGAUUGAGAUAGAUGAUGUGAGUCUAUAUUUGGGCGCUUUAUGACUCAUUGAUAUAGUGGCGCAACCGGCAUCAUUGUC
rnacentral:ncRNA from 27 species